ensembl:lncRNA
GGUAACUUUACAGCAUUAACAAUUGCCAAACCUCUUGUUCCAAUUUUUCACCUUUUACCCCCCUACCCCCUCCCCUAGAUGGCAGGAUGACCAGUAGAUGUUAAAUAUAUUAAAAUAUAAAUUAGAUACACAAUAAGUAUACAUGACCAAAACGUUAUUUUGCUGUACAAAAAGAAUCAGACUCUGAAAUAUUGUACAAUUAGCUUGUGAAGGAAAUCAAAAAUGCAGGUGUGCAUAAAUAUAGGGAUUGGGAAUUCAACGUAAUGGUUUUUAGUCAUCUCCCAGAGUUCUUUUUCUGGGCAUAGCUGGUUCAGUUCGUUACUGCUCCAUUGGAAAUGAUUUGGUUGAUCUCAUUGCUGAGGAUGGCCUGGUCCAUCAGAACUGGUCAUCAUAUAGUAUUGUUGUUGAAGUAUAUAAUGAUCUCUUGGCCCUGCUCAUUUCACUCAGCAUCAGUUCAUGUAAGUCUCUCCAGGCCUUUCUGAAAUCAUCCUGUUGGUCAUUUCUUACAGAACAGUAAUAUUCCAUAAUAUUCAUAUACCACAAUUUAUUCAGCCAUUCUCCAACUGAUGGACAUCCAUUCAGUCUCCAGUUUUUAGCCACUACAAAAAGGGCUGCCACAAACAUUCGUGCACAUACAGGUCCCUUUCCCUUCUUUAUAAUCUCUUUGGGAUAUAAUCCAGUAGUAACACUGCUGGAUCAAAGGGUAUGCACAGUUUGAUAACUUUUUGAGCAUAGUUCCAAACUACUCUCCAAAAUGGUUGGAUUUGUUCACAACUCCACCAACAAAUAUAGCAGUGAAUUUUCAUAGAAGCAUGAGAGAAAUUAAUAACCAAUGAUUUGGGGAUAUAUAGAAUUCUUUCCUUUUUAUAAAGUACUGGUUUUUAAGUCAGUCUCUUGAAGAACAUUACUGAUAAUUAAAAUGGACUAAUUUUCUGGUUCUGACCCUAGCCAAGUGGAAUAGCCAUUGUGUCCUGCUCAGGCUUGGAUGGGGUAAACUGAAUAGACUGCCAAAGGCUAGAGUGGUCUAAGUAGAAAUCACUCUCUCAGUCCAAAGGUUAACAUGAUGUCACUCAGCUGUCACUGAACAACUAUUCUUUGAAGGGUAUAUAAACUGUGAGCCUGACACUAUGAUGGUCUUUUUAUCAAUAAUGUGUUGGCCUCAUUAACAAAAUGACUAAAUUAUCCAGAAAUAAUCUCUCUCAAACCUUUUUAAUCAUCACAACAGCUUUGAGUAGUUUUUCAGGGUGACCUGUAAUGGAUGUAGGCAAAAUAGUGAUUCUUCCCCUAUCCCCUAUGGUAUCAGAUUCUUACUUUUAAAAUGGAGAACAGGAGAGGGCUAAUACUACACAUGGCGAGCUUAAAUCACAUAUUACAUUUGUACUCAGUAACUGAAGAUAAAUUCCAACUGCCAAGACAAAAAUAUUAGAAAGGAUUCCUGUUUUUUAUGAGUUGCCUCACCUCAAACAAAUAUAAAUUGGAAGGGCAAAAUGAACAAAGUGGUUUAACUAAGAUACAAUAAUUACUACUGCAUGUAAAUGCUGUUUUAUGGAAAGGCAGCUGGGUGAUACAGUGGAAUGAGCCUGGAGUCUGGUAUUAGGAAUUACCCGAGUUAAAAUUCUACCUCAGACACUUAGUAGCUGUGUGACUUUAAGCAAAUUACUUUUGCCUCAUUUCCUCAUCUGUAAAAUGAGGUAGAGGAGAUGGCAAAAGUCUAGUAUCUUAGUAAAAAACAAAAGAAACAAACAAACAAAAAAAAAAAAUGGAGUAAAAGCCCCGUUUUAUGGAAACUCACAGGUAUGAAAAAUUUCUACAAAUCUGGGAAUAUAUUAAGAUUCUUUCCUCAUAUUUGUUAAAGUCACUAACACCUCUACUUUACUUUCCAAAUAGUUUAGAAAUAGACCUUGUACUGAAAGAGGAUAAUAUUGACCUGUUAAAUUUUAAAUUCUUACUAGCUAGAAACUGAACCUGUUUUCACUGAGUACUAAGAAGUGAAGUGACUCCCCUGGGGUAAAAUAACCACUAUGAAACACAGCAGGAUUUAAACCCAGUUUAUAAAGUAUUUUCUGAAAUGUUCCUUACAUUCUUAAAAAAACCUGGAAUUUAACCUUAAUCUGAGCUGUAACUUCCUCAGAAUAACUGAGGGUUUUAUACCUUGGGCAUUAAAAAUCUGAGAUAUUGCCAAGAAUACUUUCAGUCCUUUAAUAACCUUAAUGACUUAACUUAGCACCUAAUUAGAAAGAAAAAAAUAGUUAAAACAGGAGGUUACCAGGUGACACAUUCCUUCUCAAAUCUUUG